UUGGGUCGUGUUGUAAAUGCUCUGGCUAAACCUAUUGAUGGGAAAGGCGAAAUUAUAGCUUCCGAAUCUCGCUUAAUUGAAUCUCCUGCUCCAAGUAUAAUUUCCAGGCGUUCCGUAUACGAACCUCUUCAAACAAGGCUUAUUGCUAUCGAUUCGAUGAUCCCUAUAGGGCGCGGG
rnacentral:rRNA from 1 species